UCGAUUACUUGUGUAGGAUUCCCUAAAGGUUAACUUGCAGGUGGAGUCUGUGGUGAGGAAGGCAAAUGUGAUAUUAGCAUUCAUUUCCAGAGGACUGGAAUAUAGGAGCAGGAUGUGAUGCUGAGGCUUCGUAAGGCACUGGCCAGGCUGCACUUUGAUAAUUAUGAGCAGUUUUGGGCAUCUUGUGGAAGGUGUGACAACAGUCAACAAUCUAACCACUAUGACCUUGCUGCCAUUGAGAUGGCAGGCCUCUCCCCCUGCUCUAGGCCUUUGCCUGUGGUAACCAGAAGAAAUAGUUUGGAUUUUAUACAUAUCAUCCUGGCUUUUAAAAUCAAAUGGUGCGAUAAAUCUUCCAGGCAGGAGAGCAGCUGCAAACGGGGAAUGUUUACUUAAUGGGAAUUCACAGCGAUGGUUCGUAAACAGUGCUGACAGGCCGAUGGAACAGUCUGGAAUCAAGGCUGCGGCCUGGCCAAAAGAAACAUGCCAGGCCUGCCUCGGAAUUCCUCUGUGCGGAUUAAACCGAGGCCACGGCAGGAAUCCCUCCAUAAUUAAUGAGCAGCCAACAGAUUUACUGUUCCCGCCUGAUGUAGCGUCCCUGGACAUCUCUUCUCUCAGUGCGCAGUCCACGCUUCGUUGGUGCUGUACAGUAAAGGCUCAAAGUUCACAACUCAAAGUCCAUUUAUUAUCAAGUUACGUAUACGUCACCGUAUACUCUCUGAGAUUCAUUUACUUGCAGGCAUUUACAGUAGAAAAGAGAAAUACAAUAGAAUGAACGAAAACUACACACAAAAGCAGCCAAACAAUCAAGAUGCAAAAGAUGAAAAACUGCGCAAAUAGAAAAAUAAAUAAAUAAAUAAUGUGGAGAACACGAGUUGAAGAGUCCUUGAAAGUGUGUCCAUAGGUUGCAGAAUCAGUUCAGAGUUGAGGUCACCCUUGGGCAAGGUGUAGCACCCGAUCAGGGUCACGUGAAGCCACGGGAGCAGGUGGUGGAUGGUUGUAUGAGCAGCCGGUGCAGAUCACAAGUCCUGGUUAUGUGACCACUGACGCCAGGCAGACAGUCUCUGAAGAGUAUUGAUAAUGGCUGGGGUCACCCGUCUUGUAAAGACACUGCCCAGAAGAAGGCAAUGGCAAACCACUUCUGUAGAAAAAUUUGCCAAAAACAAUUAUAGGCAUGGAAAGACCAUGAUCGCUCACAUCAUACAACAGGGCAGAUUUUGUCUUCGUUUGAACGUUGGUGGUCUGUCAGUCUUUGUGUGGAGUUUUUCACUGAUUCUGUUGUAUUCCUUCGUUCUACAGUGAAUGCCUGCAAGAAAAUGAACCUGUGGGUAAUGUAUGGUGAUGUAUGCGUACUGUGAUAAUAACUUUAUUUUGAACUUUAAGGAGAAGGGAACAGAAAGAUGUGGUGAUGGGAAGGAUGAGAAAGUUUCUUGCACCACAUCAACUAAACAGAAGUACCAGCAUGGAGCAGAGGGGCUGAACAGCCUGUUGCUGCAUUGUCUGUUCAAAACAAACUAAACAGUAAAACAUCCUGCAAGCCUACAUUUAAAUUGGCAAUUAAAUUCUGCUGCUGCCUGUGUGGGUAUUAUCUGUGAUCAGGUAUAAUUUGUAUGCUCUGGGAGCUGCAGGUAUUAAAACACAAAUGUAAAACCAUUGGAGGAGAUUAAAUUCACCGAACGCUCGACACACAUCGAAAUGAGAAGUUAAAGAAUAGUAAUGACUCGCUGACAAGAGAUGUUCUCCGACCUGCAAGCUUGCCUUGCUGCUCAAUUAAUCAUCCCUUUCUCUGAGCACCGCAUCAAUCUAACCGAAAUCAGAUUUAUUUUUCUCCCCAUUUCACUCAAUCUUCGAUAAACUUUUAUUGAAAAGUGCUUGCUGCUGCUUGCCGGAGGGGCUUCUUCCCAAGCCAGCAGCUGAAGGGAAGGAGCUUGGCGUUGGAGCAGGCAUCUGACUCCACUGACUGUCCGAAACCCGCACUGCCUGGUAACGGUUAGUGUGACGCUGUUACAGCUCGGAGUCUUCGGCAUGCAAGUCAGGCACUGUUCCGUAAGGGGUCUCUGUACGUCCUCCAAACGGAAAGAGUGGGUGUCCUCUGGCUCCUCCAGUGUAAAGUCAUACUGGGUAGGUUAACUGCUCAUGUGAAUUGUCUUGCAAACAGGUUGGGCUUAAUCGUGUUUGUCAGUUGUUGCUGGGAUGGUGCGACCUGCGACCUGCGACCUGCUCCUCGCUUUAUCGCUAAACAUAGAAGUAACCCCAUUCUGAGAGGACCCAGAAUCCGAUCAGGCUUAAUAUCACUGAC